rnacentral:rRNA from 1 species
GAUGAACGCUAGCGGGAGGCUUAACACAUGCAAGUCGAGGGGCAGCACGAUGUAGCAAUACGUUGGUGGCGACCGGCGCACGGGUGAGUAACGCGUAUGCAACCUACCCUGUACUGGGGGAUAGCCCGGAGAAAUUCGGAUUAAUACCCCAUAAUGAUAUUGAGAGGCAUCUUUUGAUAUUUAAAGUUUCGACGGUACGGGAUGGGCAUGCGUAACAUUAGCUAGUUGGUAGGGUAACGGCCUACCAAGGCAACGAUGUUUAGGGGUCCUGAGAGGGUGAUCCCCCACACUGGUACUGAGACACGGACCAGACUCCUACGGGAGGCAGCAGUGAGGAAUAUUGGUCAAUGGGCGUAAGCCUGAACCAGCCAUCCCGCGUGCAGGAAGAAGGCGCUAUGCGUUGUAAACCGCUUUUCCAGGGGAAGAAAACUUCCAUCGAGAUGGGACUUGCCGGUACCCUGGGAAUAAGCAUCGGCUAACUCCGUGCCAGCAGCCGCCGUAACAC